GUAUUUGUCACAUUGUUAUUUGUGUCCCCAAGGUACCUAAAAGGCAUGGGGGGGGGGGAUCAUUAUCUCCGCCACGCCAGUGAAUACCAGUGCAGAAAUUCUCCGAAUCUGGAGCGGAGAGACAGAGGGAGAGAGGGAAAGGGGAGGCAGGGAGGGAUGGAGAGAGAGUGGGAGGAACUACACGAGGGAGGGGUAAGGACCGGAGUGCGGAUGUGAGACACGGGGAGAGAGAGAGAGAGAGAGAGAGAGAUAGCGGCUCAGUCCACUGACUUACUGUAUCUGAUGUGUGACUCCCUGAGCUGAAGCAGGGAGGAAGAUUCAUUCUAAGGAGCACUGGGCAAAAGAAAGAGGGGAAAAAAAAAUAAAAAAUUCCCAGGGAGGAGGAGGAGGAUACUUGCACGAUGCGCGCAGGAUGUGAUUGCCUCGCACGCCCCAAAGUUUUUGGCCGUGGGAGAGCGCUCCGACCACGGACGGCGUGCGGCGCGCGCGGCUGGAUUCUUCGAGGUGGGAAGGCGCCGUCUCUGAGCAGCCAGUAGCGGAGAGGGCCGCCUCACUUCCUCGCUGCCGGCGCGGGGGGAAGGACCUCACCGCAUCCUCUCCUCUCAACCGGCUGGAAUACGGAGACAUCAAGGGGAUACGUUUCCAGGAGAGCGGGGGUCGUUAACAGCAUCUCGCGGCGGUGAAGGACGUUCUAACCUUGCUCAGAGUAAAAGAGGAGGGAGGGAGAGUUGGAUGAAAAGAAAAAGAAGAAUAAUACUAAAAGAUCGAGGCUCUCUUUCCUCCUGCAAAGCUCCGGCAUCAGUGAUUGGGCAGAACGGUCCAAAUCGCACAGACUAUAGGAUAAGAAAUGGCAUUUCAAGGUUGGUGACCGUGGCUGCUCAGUUGAGGACGUUAUAUACUAUGGAAGUACUUCCAUCGUACACGAGCCCACCUGGGAAACUCGCGUCGGCCUCUUUCCAUUAACACUCAGGAUAUUUGAAGGGACUUUUCCUGUGAUUCCAAUGAAUUCUCAACUUGGAAGCCUUGCAAGGUAAGUCUUUGUGUUCAAAACUUCUUCUGGCCUUCAAGUAAAGUUUAUAAAUGACUGGUUGGGGGAUGAAGCUUAAAGAAUAGGCUUGCACAACAGAAUA
ensembl:lncRNA